rnacentral:rRNA from 1 species
CCUACGGGAGGCAGCAGUGGGGAAUAUUGGGCAAUGGGCGCAAGCCUGACCCAGCAACGCCGCGUGAGGGAAGGAGGCUCUCGGGUUGUUAACUUCUUUUUAGAGGGAAGAGCAGAAGACGGUACCUCUUGAAUAAGCCACGGCUAACUAAGUGCCAGCAGCCGCGGGAAUCCGUAGGGGGCAAGCGUUAUCCGGAUUUACUGGGUGUGAAGGAGGCGCGGGAGGCAGCGCAAGCCAGGAGUGAAAGCCCGGGGCCCAACCCCGGGACUGCUCUUGAAACUGCGCGUCUGGAGUGCAGGAGAGGUAAGUGGAAUUCCUGGUGUAGCGGUGAAAUGCUUAGAUAUUAGGAGGAACACCAGUGGCGAAGGCGGCUUACUGGACUGUAACUGACGUUGAGGCUCGAAAGCGUGGGGAGCAAACAGGAUUAGAUACCCGGGUAGUC